UCCGGUGCUCAUAGAGAGGUGGACACACCCAGCUCCAUGCCGAACCUGGCAGUUAAGCACCUCAUCGCCGAUGGUACUGCGGAGGGUAUUCGUGGGAGAGUAGGCCGGCGCCGGGA
rnacentral:rRNA from 1 species